UACGGGGGGGGCAAGCGUUGUUCGGAAUUACUGGGCGUAAAGGGCUCGUAGGCGGCCAACUAAGUCAGACGUGAAAUCCCUCGGCUUAACCGGGGAACUGCGUCUGAUACUGGAUGGCUUGAGUUUGGGAGAGGGAUGCGGAAUUCCAGGUGUAGCGGUGAAAUGCGUAGAUAUUCGGAGGAACACCAGUGGCGAAGGCGGCUCGCUGGCUCGAUACUGACGCUGAGGUGCGAAAGCGUGGGGAGCAAACAGG
rnacentral:rRNA from 1 species